ensembl:lncRNA
GUCACCACAUGUGCUUAUCUAACAUGUUGUGUUGCCAUGAUCACAGAAACAAACCCAGAGCCAAAAAGAAAACCGUUUCCAGUUCCAGAGGCAGCAAAGCCGCCCACAGCACCGCGGGGCCUCCGCCAUGCUUCACCGUGAGCCCGGCGUUCUGUUCGCCAUCGGCUUCAUUCUUCUGCCCCAAAGCUCCAGUUUUGAUUCGUCGCUGCACAGAACAGAAUUACGAAGCUUUGGUGGCUUAUUUACAUGGUUUUCAGUGUUU